UUAAAUGGCUGCAGUAAUUUGACUGUACAAAGGUAGCAUAAUCAUUAGUUUUUUAAUUAAAAGCUUGAAUGAAAGGUUGGACGAAGUAAAAUCUGUCUCUUUAUAAUAAAAUUAGAAUUUAAUUUUUAAGUUAAAAAGCUUAAAUUUUUAUAAAAGACGAGAAGACCCUAUAGAGUUUAAUAAUUUUAAUAAAAUAAUUAAUUUAGAUUUAUUUAUUUUAUUUUUUUAUAAAUUAUUUUAUUGGGGUAAUAAUAAGAUUUAAAUAAUUCUUUUUUUUUAUAUCAUUAAUUUAUGAAAUAUUUAUGAUCCAUUAUUUUUAUGAUUAUAAGAUUAAAUUACCUUAGGGAUAACAGCGUAAUUUUUUUGGAAAGUUCUUAUUGAUAAAAAAGUUUGCGACCUCGAUGUUGGAUUAAAGAUUAAUUUAGGUGUAGAAGUUUAAAUUUUUGGUCUGUUCGACCAUUAAAUCUUUACAUGAUCUGAGUUCAAACCGGUGUAAACCAGGUCGGUUUCUAUCU
rnacentral:rRNA from 1 species